UGGUGGGUAGUUUGACUGGGGCGGUCUCCUCCCAAAGAGUAACGGAGGAGCACGAAGGUUAGCUAAUCACGGUCGGACAUCGUGAGGUUAGUGCAAAGGCAUAAGCUAGCUUGACUGCGAGAGUGACGGCUCGAGCAGGUACGAAAGUAGGUCUUAGUGAUCCGGUGGUUCUGAAUGGAAGGGCCAUCGCUCAACGGAUAAAAGGUACUCCGGGGAUAACAGGCUGAUACCGCCCAAGAGUUCAUAUCGACGGCGGUGUUUGGCACCUCGAUGUCGGCUCAUCACAUCCUGGGGCUGAAGUAGGUCCCAAGGGUAUGGCUGUUCGCCAUUUAAAGUGGUACGCGAGCUGGGUUUAGAACGUCGUGAGACAGUUCGGUCCCUAUCUGCCGUGGGCGUUGGAAGAUUGAGAGGGGUUGCUCCUAGUACGAGAGGACCGGAGUGAACGCACCACUGGUGUUCGGGUUGUCAUGCCAAUGGCAUUGCCCGGUAGCUAAGUGCGGAAAAGAUAAGCGCUGAAAGCAUCUAAGCGCGAAACUU
rnacentral:rRNA from 1 species